AGCCAUGCAUGUUUCCGCAAUCAGGGACGAAUAGCUCAGUAAAACUGCGAUGAUUUAGUCUGGCUGUGUAGAUAACUACGUGAAAAUGUAGCUAAGGGAAGGCAGAAUAAGACGCAGGACUAUCAGUUAGUUGGUAGUGUAAUGGACUACCAAGACAGUGACGGUUGACGGGAAAUUAGGGUUUUGUACCGGAGAGGGAGCCUGAGAGAUUGCUCCCACGUCCAAGGACGGCAGCAGGCGCGAAAAUUGCCCACUCUUUGCAGGAGGCAGUUAUGAGACGUGAAGAUGAGUAUCUUGUAAAGAGGGAUAGGAGAAUUGGAGGGCAAGUUUGGUGCCAGCAGCCGCGGUAAUACCGACUCCAAGAGUGUGUAUGAGAGAUGCUGCAGUUAAAAAGUCCGUAGUCAUAGAAGGGCAAAGAGAGAUGCGAGGUCUCACAGUGCGAUGAUGGAGGAGCCGAUGGGGAACAUAGUAUACCAGGGCGAGAGAUGAAAUGCCAAGACCCCUGGUGGACUGAGCGAGGCG
rnacentral:rRNA from 1 species